CGGGGAGUGGCGCAGCCUGGUAGCGCACCUGCUUUGGGAGCAGGGGGUCGUGGGUUCAAAUCCCGCCUUCCCGA
rnacentral:tRNA from 1 species